AACACCUUAGGCUGGUGGGGCUGCGGCAAGAAGCGGGUCUGUUUCUUUACUUCCUCCACGGAGUCGGCACACUAUGGCUGCCCUCUGGGCUCCCAGAACCCACAACAUGAAAGCUUGGAAAUGAAUAUGCUGCACUUUACAACCACUGCACUACCUGACUCAGGAAUCGGCUCUGGAAGGUGAAGCUAGAGGAACCAGACCUCAUCAGCCCAACAUCAAAGACACCAUCGGAACAGCAGCGCCCGCAGCACCCACCCCGCACCGGCGACUCCAUCUUCAUGGCCACCCCCUGCGGCGGACGGUUGACCACCAGCCACCACAUCAUCCCAGAGCUGAGCUCCUCCAGCGGGAUGACGCCGUCCCCACCACCUCCCUCUUCUUCUUUUUCAUCCUUCUGUCUCUUUGUUUCUGAGCUUUCCUGUCUUUCCUUUUUUCUGAGAGAUUCAAAGCCUCCACGACUCUGUUUCCCCCGUCCCUUCUGAAUUUAAUUUGCACUAAGUCAUUUGCACUGGUUGGAGUUGUGGAGACGGCCUUGAGUCUCAGUACGAGUGUGCGUGAGUGUGAGCCACCUUGGCAAGUGCCUGUGCAGGGCCCGGCCGCCCUCCAUCUGGGCCGGGUGACUGGGCGCCGGCUGUGUGCCCGAGGCCUCACCCUGCCCUCGCCUAGUCUGGAAGCUCCGACCGACAUCACGGAGCAGCCUUCAAGCAUUCCAUUACGCCCCAUCUCGCUCUGUGCCCCUCCCCACCAGGGCUUCAGCAGGAGCCCUGGACUCAUCAUCAAUAAACACUGUUACAGCAA
rnacentral:lncRNA from 1 species